AGGGUUCCUCCCACCAUCGCCACCACGACCCCUGGUCCCCAUGCCCAUGGAGCUGCAGGAGCAGCAUCCACCUCCCUCUGGCCUGCUCUCCCUUGGGCCAGGGUCCUGCCAGGCCUCUGCUGGCCAACCCUUCUGAUCCAGUCUGGGUCCAGCUUUGGCAACCUCAAGUUCACCCAGCAAUUGGGUGGGGCUUCCUGUGGGUAGGGCCAACAGCCAGAAAGCCACCUAGGGUUAAAAGUAAAAAACUUGUGAUUAUUUUCCCGAAACAGAGAUGAGACCCACCUUGAGGGUACUUGCUUCGAGAAUUGCCUCAACUCUCAUUUCAGGCCUGGUAAGAUGGUGCGAUUAUUAUAACAAAGAAGAAAUAAUUUGUUUUAAAGACAAAUGGAAGGAGAAAGAGGAGAGGGGAGAGGAACCUCAAAGAGAAGGCGAGAACUAAGGUAGAAAGGCGGCCCAGGACAGCAGGAAGUGGACCAGCCGAGGGAGGCAGGAGGAUGCCCCAGAGCCCUGACCUCCAUCCGUCUCGAGUUCUUGGCCUCAUCUGCCUCCUUCCCAGCAUCUCACCUGACAGUGACUCUGAGGAGCACCUCCAGCCGGGGGCCCCCAGAUCCGCACACUGUUCCCACCACGAGACCCUGCACACCCGGCUGCCCAGGUGAGGGCUCAGCUGCUCUCAGCCCUCCACGCGGCACAGGACUCCGCAGCCGUGAGCGCCUCCCCUGCCCUGCUGGAUAACAGAGAAGUGACAGGCAGGACGUGGAAUCCCACGCAGCUGUCCAGCCCUCCCCAGCACUCAUGGCUUUGGGCUCCCAGACCUUGGCCCAAACCUGGAAAUUUUACCAUAGCCAGGGAAGAGGCUGAAAAUACCACAAGAAUGGAACCUUAUAGCUCUUGGAGAUUUCUGCUUCUAGCCGAGUGGGAACCAGGAAAGGCAGUGAAGCCAGCAGCCGUGUCCCGUGGCCUCCUGAGUGUGGGAUCUGUCACUGAGACAUCGGGGCACCAGGGCUCGGCGUAUUGUCACCGCCACCCCACACUCGCCGCACUCGAUGCUUCUCAGCCUGAAUUGCAACGCCACAUAGGUCUUCUGCUUCGGAGAAAUAAACACGCUGAGAGAAUGUGAAGGAGUUUUCCCUAGGGACACGGAAGAGGGUUCCGGUUAUCUUGCUCACUUCCCAGCAAAUUCUGUUCAGGAGCCAAAUGCCCUGAUAGGACAGAGACCUUAAAAAUAUGGGCCUAGUUGCUGCUGCUGUGUUUGUUCUGGAAGCUUCCAGACCCUGAGGGCCGGCAGCUCUGGUCUCAGGAACCUGGCUGUGCUCCGCCUGCCCUGGUGUGGGUCACUGCAGCCAGGAGGAGGAUGUGUAAAACCCUCCCUGGGGCCACAUAGUGGAAAGAGAGGUGUCCCGCCCAGCAGGGCAGUUUUGCCCCAUCAGCCCAGGGACUCAGGGACACCCAGGAGCAAAAGGAGCCACGGCCACUCACAGUGCCACGAGGAGUGAGUUACAAGGCCGGGGAGAGUCACACAGCCACGGAGCAUCAGUCACACAGCUGCAGAGCAUCAGUCACACAGCCAUAGGGAGUCACACCGCCACGGAGAGCCACACGGCCGUGGAGAGUCAGUCACACAGCCAUAGGGAGUCAGUCACACGGCCUCGGGGACUCAAUCAGACGGCUGUGGAAAGUCAGUCACACCACAACGAGUAAGUCUUGCAGCCGCAGGGAAUCAAAUGACAGCAGGGCAAGUGACACCUGAUUGGAAGCCAGCAUUCCAGGGCACUGGAGGUGGUAGCUCAAGCUCUACAGCUGGUGGUCCCUGAUGGCCGCAAGAACAACCCCUCGAGGCUCCGCUGCACCCCCCAGCUUUGUGCCAGCCAGCGUGCGAGUGUGGGCGCCGAGUGUGCUUUGGCCCGAUCCUGGAAAACGAGGCAGCUCCGAUGCCGAGAUUCAUAUCUUGAUGCCAGACAGGGCCCUGCACGUGCCAAGUGGGCUGAGUGGGUCUUGAGGGGCUGGAGGGACCCAGGCGGGUGGCUUUGCACCCAGACGAAACACAUGGGUGAAAAGGCAACUGACUAAAUCCCGGCUUCUUCAGAGCUAUUUGUAGAUGGCACACUUGGCACCCUCAGUGGGAGUGUGUGCCAGCCUACGAGGAGCCCAGGACCUGCGUGGGGGCCUUGCAGCCCUGUCAGCCUGCAAAUCUGGCUGAGAAAUCACGUCAUUUUGUGUGUCUAGAAUAAACUGUAUUCAGGUUGGAGUGAAGUGCAUUGCAUUUUCGUGAUGAAGGCCAUGAACUCUGAGUUACACGACAAGUAUUUUGAGGGAGACACAUGGUUGCCCAGUUGUCCAAGCACACUGCCCGGCUAGGGAAGGAGGGUGGAGUCUGGAAUACUGGAGUGUUUGCAGGACUCUGGGGGAGCAGCUGGUGUUGCAUGUGGGUCCCAUGAGAUUAUAGACGUGUCUCUUCUUUAUCAAAGUGGCAGUUCCUCCAGCCACGCCAGGUUCUAUUUCCCUGGGAUCACUUAGUCCCGUUGGAACCCAGAAUGAGCCUGCAGACCUUCAUCCCACUCACUCACCCAGAGACACCACCCACAGAAGCGGGCACGGGGGAGGCCUGGCCUGGCCGUGGCUCCCAGGAUCCAAUGUGAAAUGCCCCCUGCGUGUUUGAAGACAGAGCUUGCUUCUAAGGGGAAGCCAUAGAGAGAGCAGAAGGACACAAAUGCUGCUGCCAAGUCCCUCCCACAGCUCGAUGCAGAGGACACAGGUGAUGGGAGGCUGGGCCGCUGGGGGCCUCUCACCACUCAUCUUUAUUCAUUGCAUCUUAGUUCUCUCCUCGUUAUUGAGGCCUAACGUCCAGCCGCUAAACUGCUGUUUUGUGUCUCCUACACUGUGUUCAGGACACAAGCACAGAAGUCCAUUCCCACUUGGCCAACAGGCUGCUGGUUGGCACCUCUGGUGAGUGACAGACCCUUGGGAAUUAAAAAAUAACAACAAUCAGCACCGCUCGAUCCCCUGUGGUGGCUGCUUCUCCUGGGCUUCUCUCCUCCUGGGUACGAUGUGUGAGCCCUGCAAAGCCAGUGCUCCCAGAGCCCUACACGAAGCCGGGCUUUGCCGUCGCUCCUCUCUCCACGUGCCCCUUUUUCCUCCCCACCCCAGAUAGUGCGGGGCCCCAGGUCGCCUUUCCAGGUAAGGGUGAUGGACCAGAAGAGCCACAGCUGUUCCUCCCUCGUGUGGCCUCCCAGGCCAGCUCUGUAACUUGCAGGAUUUGACUCUGUGAGAUGCAGUUCUGUGCGUCUGAAGAAAGGGUUUGCUCCUGAACAGUGACAGCAAGAGUCACUUUCUGGUGAUUUCUCUCUCCUUUGAAUCACAUUCCUCUGGCUCUUAAGCUCCAAACGCUGACAUGCCUGAACAUGCCGUGGGGUCGGGAGUGCUGAGAUUUGGCCCAGGGAAGGCUGCUGACACCACUGGCGUUAGCUCAGCCCUGACCAAAUGGCCAGACAAAGCUCAGCAAUUUGCUGGACUGCCCUGGAAAACAGCAUCCCUGUCUACAGACUUAGGGAGUUCCUGGAAAACAGCAUCCUUGUCUACGGACUUAGGGAGUUGGACCUGGUCACUUUUUAGGCUGUUCCUAACGCUGAAACUACGUUCCCACUUGACCAAGUCCACAGCAGCCCCAUGGAGGACUGCCUGGUUGUCCCAUCUGAACAGAAGGGUGAGCCAAGCCCGGGGAGAGCCUGCGCCACUGACAGCGCCACGGCCAGAGCAAGUCUGGGGUCGGUGUCAGGGCGCGUGAGAGGCUGUGUGCUGCCUGCCUGCCAGAAAUAAUUCAGAAGGGGUAACAAGCUAAUUAAUUAAUGGGAGAGCUCUGCGACCCUUGUGUGAAAGCCACACCAAGAGGUGUUAUUAAGUCCCUGUCACAGAAAAAAAUCUGAGAAACGAAGGCCUGGUCAGUUGCCGCCUCCUCCACCCAGAGAGCUGCACUGUGGCCCGAGGGUCCGAGGACAAGGUCUCAGCUCCCACGGUGUCCCGAGAGACCCCCACCCUGGGUGGGGGGGAUGAGGGCAGGGGCUGGUGGGACCAGCGGCUCCCCACGCUGGAAGGCCCCAUGCAGGCCCCGCUGUUUUCACUAAUGUUUAGGCAUAAUGUCUGUCCUAUAAAAUAACCGUGUUAUCAUCCAAACAGCUGACUCACAUCUUCAGAGUUUUGACCCAAACUUAUACAUCUGACAUUUCAGAUCUGUGAGUCAGCUCUUGCAUCCAGCCACCUUUUGGAGUUUCUUCAAUGGAAAUAUGAGGACUUAGAGUCACCUCUGGCCCUUUCCAUCCUGGGGUCCGAGCCUUCUCCUCUCUGCUUCCUGCGCUGGGAAGGCUCUUCUCACCUGGUGAGCACCUCGACCAGGAGCAGCCACGCAGCUUCUGCAGCUGCACAUCAGCCAGGAGAGGCUUGCAUUUUAUUUAUUUUUAUCUUUUUUUUUACGUUUUUAAGACAGAGUCUCGCUCUGUCACCCAGGCUGGAGUGCAACCUCCGCCUCCCAGGCUCAAGCGAUUGUCUUACCUCAGCCUCCCGAGUAGCUGGGAUUACAGGCACCCCCACCACGUCCAGCUAAUUUUUUUGCAUUUUUAGUAGAGACAGGGCUUCACCAUGUUGUCCAGGCUGGUCCUGAACUCCUGAGCUCAAGUGAUCCGCCCGCCUCGGCCUCCCAAAGUGCUGGGAUUUCAAGUGUGAGCCACUGCACCAGGCCUGCAUUUUAGAUACAACAUGAAAAUCAAUCCCUGGUUUCUUUCAAAACACCAUCUGUGGGUUCAGGGCUGUUUUCCAAUUCCAUGAUGACAUCAUUUCAUGUGAGGGAACAGUCAGAGCUUCCGACAGCCAAUUGGAAGGGUGGGCAGGUGUCCGCACUGUCCACAGAGAACCAGUCGGAAGAGUGGACAGGUGUCUGCAAUCUCCACAGAGAGCCAACUGAAAGAGUGAGCAGGUGUUCACAAAGUCCACAGAAAGCCAAUCGGAAGGGUGGGCAGGUGUCCACAGUGUCCACAGAGAGCCAAUCAGAAGGGUGAGCAGGCAUCCACAACAUCCACAGAAGGCCAAUUGGAAGGGUGGGCAGGUGACCGCAGCAUCCAGAGAGCCAAUCAGAAGGAUAGGUAGUAUCUACAAUGUUCACAGAGAGCCAAUCGGAAGGGUGAGCAGGUGUCUGCGGUGUCCACAGAGUGAGGCUCUCCUCAGAGUGAGGAGAGAAGACAGUGCGGGUCACCAGCCCAGGCCAGAGAGAGACAGUCUGGACUUGAGUCCAAACCCUGCCAAGUGCCGCUGUGGACUCGGCCUCGCGUGUUCUCUCUCUAAGCCCGAGCUCCUCUGCAGCAGGACCUGUCUCACAGGCUGAUGUGAAGAUUCAGCUCAUAGGGUGUUCAGUGCACUGCCUGGCAAAUGCAAGGUGCCAAUGUUACCUGUGGUUGAUGCCACACCAGGGAAGGACUCCCAAGCCCUCCCCACACAGAACACACAGCAGACACUGUGACUGGAAGACACAAAGGCCUUUAUUUUAUUAAUGACUCUUGAUUUUCUGUGGAUUUCCUUUUGUCAAAAAGAGCAUCCUUUGCCCUCCUUUUUAAUGUAUCAUGCUGAAAUCGCAGUUUUACGAAAGCAAAUAUUGCAGUAACGUGCACUAUAGAAACAGAAAGUGAAAUAAGAAAGAAUUGCAGAUUUGUUUACCCUGCAUAUUAAGUGGACUCCAAAAUUACUUUAGAAAUAAGCCCCUUUCAGGGAACAAAAAAAGUCUAGCACACUUACUUCAAGUGCAGAGAAUAAUCGCGUAUCAAAGGACCACUAGGACUUACCAAGCUUCCCAGGGCAGAAGGCUCACCCUGUGUUAGGGUUCCGUAAUCAAGUUGACCGAGUCAAGGAUGGAAGGAAUGCCUCCACUUUAACAUCAGAUGCUGCUUUUCUCCCAUCCUCUGGGUCUCUGAAAUCAGCGCAGCAGCGUCUGUGCAUUCCCAGCAGCCUCCUUGCCGGCCGUCUCUGGCCGCCAGGACUGCGCAGGGCUGCCUGGGAGGCUGUGGCCGCCCUGCCCACUGCCUCAACUCCCUGGCUUUGUGGCAGGAUCAUCUGUCUCCCUGUUGAGUUGCUCUUUGUUCUGCUGGUUCUGACUGUGGUUUUAAACAUACAUGACUGACCAAAGAUCCUCAGCACAGAAUGGAGUUGUUAGACAUUCCUGUAAAGUAAUGCCAUGAAUUUUUCAGCAAAAUUAGUUGAAUUCGCCACUAAAUUUUGCUUGUCAGACUGGACACUGUUCUUAUUAAAUCUUUGCUAGAAGAUUUAAUUAGACUCUAGUAGAAGAUUUUGAAAUCUGUAAAAGAUUUAAUACAAUAGGAUUUUAUUUGAAGUAAAUGAUGACUCCAUUAAAGGAUCAAUUAAUAAAACAUUCAAAAAAAUUGUGACAAUAAAAAAUGUAUAUUUGGAAAUAAGCAUAAGAUUCCACCAACAGUAAAAGAAGCUUUUUAUAGAUUUUUGUUGUGGUGGUUUUCCUUAUAUCUCUUUUCUGUGCUUUCUUUAAAAACGCCGCCAAUUAGAUGGAUUUAACAUUCAACCGAGGCAGGUUUUUAUUCAAAGGAGACGAUUUUAGUCUGAAGAGCAGCGGAUUUAAAGCAGAGACUUCCCUGCUGUGCACUGAUCAGCUAUUGAUUAGGGGGAGGGGGGGUGGUUAAACAAAAUCAUCAAUGCCAAAUAAUAGGCCCUCAGCCUGCGGGGACUGACCUGGGCACAUUUGUGAUAGGAAAA
rnacentral:lncRNA from 1 species